rnacentral:tRNA from 1 species
UGGUAAGAAGCAAUAUUUGCACUCAGUUUCGACCUGAACUUAAGAUGAUAGUCAUCCUUACUAU